rnacentral:rRNA from 1 species
GAUGAACGCUGGCGGCGUGCCUAAUACAUGCAAGUCGAGCGAACGGACGAGAAGCUUGCUUCUCUGAUGUUAGCGGCGGACGGGUGAGUAACACGUGGAUAACCUACCUAUAAGACUGGGAUAACUUCGGGAAACCGUAGCUAAUACCGGAUAAUAUUUUGAACCGCAUGGUUCAAAAGUGAAAGACGGUCUUGCUGCCACUUAUAGAUGGAUCCGCGUUGCAUUAGCUAGUUGGUAAGGUAACGGCUUACCAAGGCAACGAUGCAUAGCCGACCUGAGAGGGUGAUCGGCCACACUGGAACUGGGACACGGUCCAGACUCCUACGGGAGGCAGCAGUAGGGAAUCUUCCGCAAUGGGCGAAAGCCUGACGGAGCAACGCCGCGUGAGUGAUGAAGGUCUUCGGAUCGUAAAACUCUGUUAUUAGGGAAGAACAUAUGUGUAAGUAACUGUGCACAUCUUGACGGUACCUAAUCAGAAAGCCACGGCUAACUACGUG